rnacentral:rRNA from 1 species
GUGAACCUUUACUAUAGCUUGACACUGAACAUUGAGCCUUGAUGUGUAGGAUAGGUGGGAGGCUUUGAAGUGUGGACGCCAGUCUGCAUGGAGCCGACCUUGAAAUACCACCCUUUAAUGUUUGAUGUUCUAACGUGGACCCGUUACCCGGGUUGCGGACAGUGUCUGGUGGGUAGUUUGACUGGGGCGGUCUCCUCCUAAAGAGUAACGGAGGAGCACGAAGGUUGGCUAAUCCUGGUCGGACAUCAGGAGGUUAGUGCAAUGGCAUAAGCCAGCUUGACUGCGAGCGUGACGGCGCGAGCAGGUGCGAAAGCAGGUCAUAGUGAUCCGGUGGUUCUGAAUGGAAGGGCCAUCGCUCAACGGAUAAAAGGUACUCCGGGGAUAACAGGCUGAUACCGCCCAAGAGUUCAUAUCGACGGCGGUGUUUGGCACCUCGAUGUCGGCUCAUCACAUCCUGGGGCUGAAGUAGGUCCCAAGGGUAUGGCUGUUCGCCAUUUAAAGUGGUACGCGAGCUGGGUUUAGAACGUCGUGAGACAGUUCGGUCCCUAUCUGCCGUGGGCGCUGGAGAACUGAGGGGGGCUGCUCCUAGUACGAGAGGACCGGAGUGGACGCAUCACUGGUGUUCGGGUUGUCAUGCCAAUGGCACUGCCCGGUAGCUAAAUGCGGAAGAGAUAAGUGCUGAAAGCAUCUAAGCACGAAACUUGCCCCGAGAUGAGUUCUCCCUGAGACUUAGAGUCUCCUGAAGGAACGUUGAAGACGACGACGUUGAUAGGC